UGGGGAAUUUUGCGCAAUGGGCGAAAGCCUGACGCAGCAACGCCGCGUGUGUGAUGAAGGUCUUCGGAUUGUAAAGCACUUUCGACCGGGACGAAAACCCAAGGGUUAACACCCCUUGGCUUGACGGUACCGGGAGAAGAAGCACCGGCUAACUCUGUGCCAGCAGCCGCGGUAAUACAGAGGGUGCAAGCGUUGUUCGGAAUUAUUGGGCGUAAAGCGCGUGUAGGCGGCAUGGCAAGUCGGGUGUGAAAGCCCUCAGCUCAACUGAGGAAGUGCGCCCGAAACUGCUUUUGCUUGAGUGCCGGAGAGGGUGGCGGAAUUCCCCAAGUAGAGGUGAAAUUCGUAGAUAUGGGGAGGAACACCGGUGGCGAAGGCGGCCACCUGGACGGUGACUGACGCUGAGACGCGAAAGCGUGGGGAGCAAACAGG
rnacentral:rRNA from 1 species